rnacentral:rRNA from 1 species
AGUGGGGAAUAUUGGACAAUGGGCGAAAGCCUGAUCCAGCCAUGCCGCGUGUGUGAAGAAGGUCUUCGGAUUGUAAAGCACUUUAAGUUGGGAGGAAGGGUUGUACGCUAAUACCGUGCAAUUUUGACGUUACCGACAGAAUAAGCACCGGCUAACUCUGUGCCAGCAGCCGCGGUAAUACGGAGGGUGCAAGCGUUAAUCGGAAUUACUGGGCGUAAAGCGUGCGCAGGCGGUUUUGUAAGACCGAUGUGAAAUCCCCGGGCUCAACCUGGGAACU